rnacentral:lncRNA from 1 species
AUGAUGAAGAUGAAGGGAAAGAGGAGAGGCACCUGUGGUAUUUUCUCCAGCCUUUUAGAAAACAUGGUGUUGUUCCUUUGGCCGCAUAAGUGCCAAUCUACAAGAAAGGUGAUACUGUAGACAUCAAGAGAAUGGGCACUGUUCGAAAAGGAAUGCUGCACAAGUGUUACCAUGGCAAAGCUGGAAGAGUCUACUGUGUAACCCAGCAUGCUGUUGGCAUUGUUGUAAACAAACAAGAUAAGAGAAAGAUUCUUGCCAAGAGAAUUAAUGUACAUAUUGAGCAUAUUAAGCACUCUAAGAGCUGAGAUAGCAUCCUGAAAUGGUAGGAGGAAAAUGAUCAGAAAAAGAAGGAAGCCGAAGAGAAAGGGAUCUAGGUUCAACCGAAAAACCAGCCUGCUCUGCCCAGAGAAGCACAUUUUCUGAGACCCAAAGAAAAGGAGCUCGAGCUGCUAGAAUCUAUUCCCCAUGAAUUCAUGGC